rnacentral:rRNA from 1 species
GACGAACGCUGGCGGCGUGCCUAAUACAUGCCAGUUGAGCGCUGAAGGUUGGUACUUGUACCAACUGGAUGAGCAGCGAACGGGUGAGUAACGCGUGGGGAAUCUGCCUUUGAGCGGGGGACAACAUUUGGAAACGAAUGCUAAUACCGCAUAAAAACUUUAAACACAAGUUUUAAGUUUGAAAGAUGCAAUUGCAUCACUCAAAGAUGAUCCCGCGUUGUAUUAGCUAGUUGGUGAGGUAAAGGCUCACCAAGGCGAUGAUACAUAGCCGACCUGAGAGGGUGCUCGGCCUCAUUGGGCCGGAGACACGGCCCAAACUCCUACGGGAGGCAGCAGUAGGGGAUCUUCGGCAAUGGACGAAAGUCUGACCGAGCAACGCCGCGUGAGUGAAGAAGGUUUUCGUAUCGUAAAACUCUGUUGGUAGAGAAGAACGUUGGUGAGAGUGGAAAGCUCAUCAAGUGACGGUAACUACCCAGAAAGGGACGGCUAACUACGUG